rnacentral:misc_RNA from 1 species
AAACAAAUCUUUUACUCUUGCAAUGACUCCCGCAGUAUCAAUUCUUUGGGCCUUGAAAUCUUUCAUAACUUCAAGGAAGUCUUCAUACUGUUGUCUCUUGUCUUGAAAUAUGUCCUUCACUCUCUUGAGAUAUACUAGGGCGUCAUUAGUGGUUAAUUUCUGAGUACUUCCUCCUCCCGCCAUUUGGGGUUGUGUAGAUGCUUCUGCACGAGUGGAAAUCGCAGGACGUUUGAGUUGAGAGCCCAUAUAAACGUCGUCUCUGGACCUCUUCAUCUCCAACAAGAAACUCCUCCGUCUUUAACAGAAAAUCAUGCUUCGAACUCAGAUUAGAAUCAAAAUUCCUGCUCAGAUCACCUCCCAAUAUCCAAAAUCACAUUAAAGGGUGUGAGGUGAAAGAUCGUGGAGUGAGGGAAUUAGCAGAAAGUCUGAAGCAUAAACAAGUC